rnacentral:rRNA from 1 species
UACGUAGGGUGCAAGCGUUGUCCGGAAUUAUUGGGCGUAAAGAGCUCGUAGGCGGUCUGUCACGUCGGCUGUGAAAACCCGAGGCUCAACCUCGGGCCUGCAGUCGAUACGGGCAGACUAGAGUUCGGUAGGGGAGACUGGAAUUCCUGGUGUAGCGGUGAAAUGCGUAGAUAUCAGGAGGAACACCGAUGGCGAAGGCAGGUCUCUGGGCCACUACUGACGCUGAGAAGCGAAAGCAUGGGGAGCGAACAGG